UGGGGAAUAUUGGACAAUGGGGGAAACCCUGAUCCAGCGAUGCCGCGUGAAUGAAGAAGGCCUUAGGGUUGUAAAGUUCUUUCACCUGUGACGAUGAUGACGGUAACAGGAGAAGAAGCCCCGGCUAACUCCGUGCCAGCAGCCGCGGUAAGACGGAGGGGGCUAGUGUUGUUUGGAAUGUCUGGGCGUAAAGGUCGCGUAGGCGGUUUAUCAAGUCAAGUGUGAAAGCCUUGAGCUUAACCCAAGAAUUGCGCUUGAUACUGAUAAGAUCGAGGAAGAUGGAAGAAAGCGGAAAUCAUAAUGUAAAGGUGAAAUUCGCAGAUAUUAGGAAGAACACCAGAGGCGAAGGCGGCUUUCUGGAUAAUAUCUGACGCUGAGGCGCGAAAGCGUGGGGAGCAAA
rnacentral:rRNA from 1 species